ACGCAGGCGACGCUUUACGGCAGGGGUGGGGGUCGGGGGGGUCGAAGUCGAGCCUCGCUGGCUCCGGCGCGGAACUGAGGGGACCGGGUCCUUCCCGCUGAAGCAUGGCAUAAGCCACGUUGGUCCCCUCAGCCUCCUUCGUGUCCUUUCCCUGGGGCAACACGGGGUGACGCGGGGCCAGACCGGCACCCCUUCUGGCCGGAGGGACCCUCCCCAUCCUCUAACGUCUGAGCAGCCUGUACCCUGCGUGCAAGCUGACUGUCCUCAUUGAUUUGGGAGGCUGCCUCAUUGUAUACUCAAUUCUGGUAUGUUUUCAGGAACCAGUUUGGUUAUAAAAUCAAAGCAUGUGAUCAACAGCUCGUACAUUAUAUUGGUGUGGACCCAGAGAGCAAGCACAGACGAAGAGCAGACACUGACCUCACAGUUCUGACAGGUUGGCUUCUUACACUUAGUAAUGUGCAUUUAGGAUUCUUCCAAGUACGUUUGCAGCUUGAUAGCUCCUUUCUUUUAUUCCACACUAUAUUUGUUCAUCUAUUCACCGACUCAAGGACAUCUUGGUUGCUUACAAGGUUUGGAAAUUAUGAAAAAAAACUAUAAACAUUUGUGUACAUGUUUCUGUGUGAUUGCCAAACUUCCAAAGUGUGGGAAAUAAAGCCCACUGGCCCAAACCAAAAGAAUGGACUUGGAGACACAAGGUGCAGUGGGAAGCAAGGCUUUAGUGAAGGUCUUGCGAGAUGAGGUGUCUGGUGGGCAGGCACACCCAGGGCAGUUACAACAAGCAAUUUAUUUUCUAGCACACAAGUCCCUUCCCCAGUUUCUCAUUGGCUGAGUACUAUGGGGUAGAUAAAUAUUCUUUCCAGAGGUUGCCUAAGUAUAUUUCCUUCAUUAUGGGCUGGCCCUUUCCUAACAACUUGUUUUCACUUUUGCUCACAUUUACUACUGUUCUUAUGUUUUGAAUUCACCAACAGAAGGAGCCAGCACGAAACCCUGAGCAUCCCACUUUCCCUUUGUUUGAGUGCUAGUAAAUUUUCUUUUUUCCUCAGAGAUAGCUACCCUUCAAAAUAGACCACAUUAAGUUUUCAUUUAUUACAUAGAGUGGUUAGAAUAUUUUGUAUCCCUACUGGCAAUGAAUGAGUUUGUCUUGAUUAACAACUUCAUUAACAUUUGGGGUUGAUGUCAUUUUUUCCAUGAAGUCAGGGGCAUAUUUCACCUUGCUACGACUACCACCAAGAGUCCUCCACCCACACCUCCACAGGGGUACUUUCGUAAAAAUAACCAACACCUCUUUGAAAUUAAGACUGUCAGAAACCUCGGGAGGUAAAAAUGGGCACUUAUUGAAUAUAUAGUAUAUUUAAAAAUUUCCUAAAACUAUGCAGACAUUUAUAGUGAUGAUAGUUACAGCAUCUCUACACCUAUUCCAAAAGGAUUCAUAUAACACAAGUGCACACUUUGUAUGUGUGGUUACAACCUGGAUUUAUUCCAAGUGGCAAAGGCCUUCAACCAAAGCCUAAUUAUUACAGCAUCAAGGGAAUUCUGGCUUCAAACUUGAUCAAUAAUAACCUGACAGAACAUAUCACAUAGUGAUCGCCAGAAAACGUAGGGUCCAGGCCAUGUGGACUCAGAAUCUCCUAGAUUGCUAUGAACAUGGACUACAGAUGGACAGGGUGCUUUAGAUAUCCACAAAGGUAUGACCUUACUGCCAAGGAGAAGCCCCCUAAGGAGGAGACACCUCUUUCUUCAACAAUCCAUUAGAGUGACGCCCCGUUACAGCACUUAAAAGGCGCUUGGGCACAACCAGAGCCUUUUUUCACCAACAUAGGGCGGAGGGAGUGGCCCAGCAGGAGAGGGCAAUAGCAUUUCUGGGAAAUCAGUUCCAUGAAGGGGAAGCGUUUUCAGCAUGGCAUGCAGGCCCUUCCUGUGGAUCCUGCCAGGGGAAGGCCUGUGACGGGAGGAAGUGAGGGUUUCCAGCACUCCGAAGAUCCUGGGCGAACCUGGCGGCCUGCCACCUCACCAGAGCAGGUGUGGGAGCAACAGGUAGUGGUGUUCCGGGGCCUGGCUUCCCCACCAAGGAGCCCCUGGCUGCCAGGCUCUCGGGGGCGUGGUGUUGGCAGUGGCCAUGUUCAGGAACAAGGUGCUGAAGCUCCUGCCCCAGAGCCUCUUGCCUGGGGAUCCUUGCCCUUAUGCAGGAAGGCUGGUUUGAUAGGUUUAAGAGGUCUCAGGUUACUGAAAUAACGCUUCCUUUGCUCAGUCUUAGCAUUAAGAACACACCUCCAUGGCACCAGUAUACACUCGAUUAAAACAGUUCUGAAAGUAAUAUUUGCAGAAGACAAAGGAGUAAAACACAAAGUACACCUGGGAGUACUAUUCCACACCUAUCAGAGCUGUGAAAUUGGCUCCAGUAAAAUACUGGUCUUUCUGGGGUUUGAGUUUAAACUGAAUUCAAGGUUCUUGGAUCAAGGUUGUUGAUAUUUGCAUCCCCCAGGCAGAACUCUUCUGAUCAUUACGGUGAACAACUGUAGCAAUUCAGUAUACCUGAACGUGCUAGUACCAGACACUGACGCAAGGAAUUUCUGUGAGAGUUGUUCCUUGAGAGAGAAGCCUACUGUACAGAAGUGGGUCAAAGAAUCAAAGUGCAACUGAGGGCUGUAUUACCUACCUAUCAAAAAUGUAAAGUCAGUGUCUGGUCUUCGUCUGUUCUUGCACUCUGAGUCCACAGCAAGGCAAUAUAUGAGCUGUUGAUCAUGCCCUUUGAUUAUCUUACCACGACCUGCAAAGCAAAGAAAAUACAGUUGAAUACCUUUGCCUCAAUGCAAAUUACUUUCCUUCAGUAAGAAUUCAGCAUGAAAAGUAUGAUAAGACAAAAAACACUUCAGUCUUUUUCUAGUUCCAUUAAAAACAAAAAAAUCCAGCCAGUCACUACCUAUUCUUAAAAGAAAUAAGCCUAAACAUACAGAUGGUUUGGACUUUGUAGUGCAAACCAUCUGUGAUGUAACCC
ensembl:lncRNA